CCUACGGGUGGCAGCAGUGAGGAAUAUUGGUCAAUGGCCGAGAGGCUGAACCAGCCAAGUCGCGUGAGGGAAGACGGCCCUACGGGUUGUAAACCUCUUUUGUCGGGGAGCAAAGCGAACCACGUGUGGUUCAUUGAGAGUACCCGAAGAAAAAGCAUCGGCAAACUCCGUGCCAGCAGCCGCGGUAAUCCGGAGGAUGCGAGCGUUAUCCGGAUUUAUUGGGUGAAAGGGGUGCGCAGGCGGAGGUGCAGGUCCGCGGUCAAAUUGCGGGGCUCAACCCCGUACUGCCGUUGAAACUGCAUCCCUUGAGUGCGCGAGAAGUAUGCGGAAUGCGUAGUGUAGCGGUGAAAUGCGUAGAUAUCACGCAGAACUCCGAUUGCGAAGGCAGCAUACCGGCGCGCAACUGACGCUCAUGCACGAAAGCGUGGGUAUCGAACAGGAUUAGAUACCCGAGUAGUC
rnacentral:rRNA from 1 species